rnacentral:lncRNA from 1 species
CCAAUGGGUUGUAACACUGGUUUGCCUCCACCAGAUGUUGCAUCACUUUUUGUUUCUUCCAAGCUGCAGAUCACCACUUGAUUCACAGGAUGCCUAAAUGCAGCUGUGCUGUUCAUUGUGAACUAUGGGGAAUCGUGGGUUUUGGGUUGCACAGUUGCUUGAUUGUCCCUUUAGUUAGUGCUUUGGUUCCUUUCUCAAGGGCAGGGCCCUCAUUCUCUUCUGAUAUUCUCCCAAGCCAGCUUCUAGCCCUGCUGUGUUCAGGAGGGACCAUUUGGGCAGUACAGCUCUGUUGCUUAUGUGAGGUCAGACAGAGGCCUCCCCAGACAUAGCUCUCUGAGCUUCCUGGGACCUGCACGUCCCUUUCGCUGUUGUACCACAAGGAUCCACUCUUCUUCCUGGCUGGUGGGGGCUGGGGGUGGGGGAGUUUCUCAGUCCCAAAGCAGAAAUGGUAGUGCCUGCAUUGUCUGGGAAAGAAUCACCACCUAUUUGUGAGGUUUCCUGGGCUGCGCUCCCUACCCAAUUUUCAAUAAUGUUGCUAACGAGCCAGAGAGAGGAACCAACAUAAUUCACAGUACACAGUUAUUAAAAUGAGCAGACCUGCACAAGAAGACACACACAUAAUGGGCGCUCUAGGUUGAAAAAAAACAUACAAACUAACCAGGGCACAGAAGUAAGGGGGUCACAGUUCACUGUUCACUGUGUGUCUUAGAUUCAGCUUCCUGAGGAGCAGCUCGGAGACAGGGAUUUGUAAGCAAAUGGUUUAACUGGGAAAUGGUCCCAGAGAGCACCGUAGAGAGUGGUGAGCUUGAGAGAGAAGGAAAGGAAGCUGGUUACCACUGUAGGAAAGUGGAGUUUAAUCCUACUGGGGAACUCUGUAAACAGUGCAGAACAUGAGUCUCAGCUCUGUCUCUCCAAAGAGUGAGGUAGCUGCGUGUUUAUACACCAACUCCCACCAGCCACUGGUGGAGGGCCCCAGGCUGCCUUGAGUUUGUCUCGUGAUGGGAGGUUCUGGGGUGCUUUUGUGGCCAGAAAAACUUGUGGAAAGGGAGAUACAGAUGCUAGCUGGUGGAGGUCAGGACAGCCUGCUCAGAAACAGUACAUAGCCAAAGGGUAUGGUUGGGGCACUGACAGCUUCUGCUAAAUUGUGGGAACUGGUACCUUCCAGAUGGUGAGUCAUUCAGUCCUCAUUAUAAGCUGGUGAGGCAGGUGAUGUCCACACUAUAGAGAUAGGGGAGCCAAGGGGCAUACAUUUCUCAUGUUUCUUGACUAGAGCAUCGUUCUCUAGAGCAUAGGAUGUUUUAGCAUCCUGGACUUCUUCGGCUAAAUGCCAGUGGCACCUUCCCAUUCCUCAGUCAUUGUGAUAACUAAUUAGCCAUCCAAAUUGGAUAAAAAAAUCCUCUCCCCUCCCAAAUGCUGAGUAGAAAGGAUCUUCUGUAAGGCAGGUGUUCCAUUUCCCUGUGUUCCCUGCCCCCAUGAUACCCCUGUCCAAACUCCUUGAGACCUCUGGACAGAAGAAGGAACUGAUGCUUGCGUCUCUGUUUUCACAAAACAAAGCUGUAGUUAUCAGGCCAGAAUCAUCUCAGCUGAGGCUGGAGCAGGCCAGAGAGGAAAAAAGGCCACAUGUUGGGUAGAGAUUCCAUGCUGACAGCUGGGAUUCAGCCCUGAGUGUUAGCGAGUGUUGUGUGGGUGCGUUCACGGGAGCUGGAAGCUCAGUGUGCACAACAUGUGCAUGCCAGGCCAUCCAUCUGCACACUCAUGAACAGCAAUGUCUAAGUAGAUGCAGCCUUCACAACCUUUUACCCAGACUUUUGUUUUCUUUGUUGCAAAGCCAGGUCUUUCAUAAGCCUUUGGCCAUGUUUGGCAAUAUUCAUGUCAUGCCUCUUCUAGAACCUGUUCAAGCCCAUCACAACGUGUGUGCUGCCUCUCACUCCAAUUUCCCUCUCCCCAAGCAUCUUCACCCAGAUGGGUUUAGGUUAAAAUUGGUAGCACUCCUGUGGUGUGUGGGGAAGGGGAAGACAUGUGACCAGGGGAGGCCUGGGGCAUAACAGCUACUUAAAUUCUGCUAAUGGAGUGAUGGAGGUCCAGCAAGGAUGGUGACUGCUUUCUUCCUCACCGUAAUCCCCAUAAGUGUGCACUUUCUCGGGAACUGCAUGGCGUGUAGUUGAUGGAAGACUCAGCCCUGUAACUUUUGCCUGGGUCAGGCCUGAGUGCAUGGGUGGAGGGGAGGGAUCAAGUUUAUGAGUUGAUUAUGAACUGAUUAUAAGUAGAGCACCCUCAGCCUGUUUUAGUGCUAGUGGCAAGUCCAGGGUCAUUCUCAACACUACACCAAUGUCCAUAUCCUCAGGAUAGAUGAAAGGAGGUGCAAGACCACUAUUAGCAGAAUUGCUUUUGUGGGUAGGAUGGUGGGAGCUAAGAGUGAGUGCAUUUGAUCUUUUCAAAGUGACACUGUCAAGCUCCUUAGUAGAAUCCACAGUCCCAGAAGAUGAGGCUUUAUUUUGUUGUGCAUCUUAGCAUGAGAGCAAUAACUAGAGUAAUAGUAGGAUUGAACAUGGACUCACCAUGUGGCAGGUGCCAUGAACACAGUAUUCUGUUCUUCACCACGUAUCCACAAUAUGAAUAGCGCUGGUACUCAUGUUCCCCUUUUACAGAUAAGGAAACAAACUCAAGGAAAUCAAGGACUUGGCUGAUAAGGCCACAGAACUAUUAAGAAACACAGCAGGGAUUAGAAUCAUCUUUUGGAAAUACAGUUAGAUCAUAAAAAUAAGACCUAGUAUUCCAUAGUACAGUAGGGAAAUUGUAGUUAACAGUAAUUUAUUGUAUUUUCAAAAUGGCUAGAAUAAUUGCAAUGUCCCUAACACAAAAAAGAUGGAUGUUUGAGGUAAUAGCACAAUUACUCUGAUUUGACCAUUACAUUGUGUACAUGUAUCAAAAUAUCACAUAUACUUCCAAAAUUUGCACAACUAUUAUGUAACAGUUUAAGAAGUUAUAAAAGAAUGAUCUUUUGGACACCUAAGGCUCAGCACUGUUGAUAUUUGGGGAUAGAUCAUUUUCUGUUUUGAGGGGUGUCCUGGGCAUUGUAGGAUGUUUAACAACAACCAUGUCCCCCAUCUGCUAGAUGCCAGGAUUACUUUCCCUAUACCCACCAAUUGCGAAAACCAGAGAUGUCUCUCUCCAGACAUUGCCUGGGUUGAGAACCACUAACCUAGUCCUUUUCAUCUCACACUUCUAAAAAGAGCACGGUUGGAGAGUUGCCUUCAGCCCCUACCUCUGGGUCACAUGCAAGGCCCAGUCUACUGGUUUCCCUUUCAACCUCUCCUGACUCCACUGUUCACCAGGCCUGUGUCAAUUACUUCAUUCAUUCAUUCACUCAUUUAUUCAAUAACUACUUAUUAAACACCUGUGCUGCACCAGGAGAUAGAAAUAAACCAUAGAAGCUCCUGCCCUCCUGGAGCCUAUAUUCCAGUGAAUAUAUAAACAGUUCAUAAUCAACUCAUACACUUGACCCCCUCCCCUCUAACCUGUGCACUCAAGCCUGACUCAGGCAAAAGUUACAGAAAGUACCUAAUAG